CUCUCACUUCGAUUAAAUCCAGAUAUCAGCCAAACCAAACAAAUCCAAGACAUCUUCUCCGUCUUUUCGCCAUUUUCCCUGAAAAAGAAUGAUCAAUCUGUGUUAGAAGAUCUUCUACAAACAGCCAUUUAUCUUCCUUCCUCUAAUCUUCGAAGGAACUUAGCUGCGAAUUCAACUGGUUUGUUCUCUCUUGCGUUUUUUUUAAGGAGUGCAGCAGCCAAAAUAUUUAUUGUAGCUGCCCUUGAAUUUUGUCGGAAAUGAGGGAAAUCAAGCUUGACUUUGUUUCUGUUUGAGCGGGCACCGAAAAUUCAAGCCAAAGUUGAAUUUAUUUUGGUUGAUUGGGCAUCAAAAAUCUUAUUGUGGCUUCUGAAUUCUGUCGCUAAACAAGGAGGAGGCGUCAUCAUCGAGGAACCCUUCUAGUGAUCGCGAAGAACCAGACUUAGCUUCUUAAAGCGUUCUUGAUCGGAACCAGUCGGGAAUGAUAGAAUAGCGGAGGUGAUUAGAGUUUUCAAGGAUGUUAUAAUGAGCUUAGCAUGUUAGAAUUUUGUAGUUUUGUAUUAAGCCUUGGUAAUUGUAUAUUAGGCUAGACUGUAUUGGUUAUGUUGGACUUGUAUAGAGACUUUUAUGAUUACUUUAUGAGUUAGAUAGAUGUGUGGUUUGGGAAUAACUGAUUUAGCUAUGUUUUAGAACUAAAGACUCAUUUGCACAAGUUUUGGAAUUAAGAUUUGAGUUUUUUUGGGAAGUAAACCCCGUGAUGACCUUGUUUACUCAGUCAAUAGUAAGUCGGGUUGUUACACUCUCAUUGAUCUCAAACCAGUUCUUCGGUUCCCGACCCUUACGUGAGGUGAGAUGGAGCUCAACCUUCGUGUCACAAGGCGGCGGGAUGCCCUGUAACAUAAAUUCUGGGUCAUACGUCAGACAUUUAAGUUAAACCAUUUCUAGGACCGACGACGUUCUAGCGAUAAAGAAAUAAUAAACUAUAAUGAAAAUGAUAAAUCAGUGAAAGUCUUAAAGUUUACAACUUGAGAAUUUACUAGCCUUGUCAAAACUCAAAAAUUAAAGCCUUUUUGCGAUAAGAAGCAUGUUAAAGUUCAUUUGACGAGUAAUAAAAGUCUGGGUGCCACAGUCAGCUCAAUUACUAGUUCUAUUAUUUGGUCCUCACACACUAGUCCCACCUGCAAGUCAACUUGCUAGUCGUCAAAUGACAACAACAUAGCACGUUCCAAAGAACAUAAACCAGUACAAGUCAAAGAUUUCAUACAGUGCAUUAUACAGGUCAUCUUAGCAUGCAAAGACUAAUAGUUUAGAUGUCAUGUUUGGCUUUUCAAAUCUCAACUCAUGUCAUUGCCCGUCCUAUUGGAUCGCCAGAGUAAUAUCAAAGUUUAAAGGAAUACACGGGGAGAGCUAAUCCCAAAGCAACCUUUGACCUAAGGCGUUGUUCGCCCUGUUCGGGUCGUUAAAGGUAAAGUAUGCAUACCCUCAUGGUGACCGUAAUGAUCCAAAAUUGCCAUGAACACGAUAAUAACAAUAAUAUUUUCAAAUCCAACACAACCAUCCUCAAUUUCCAAGCUAAACUCCUUUCCAAUUAUUUGAGGUGUCUAUGCCGUAAGUGAUAUACAACAUCACAUCAUAGAAUGAAAACAACAUUACUUUACAUAAUCAAUUACAAAAGUAUGGUCUAAGCGUGUAUCUUGGUAGCACGAUAAACCAAUUCAAAGCACGUCACGAAUGGAAUCUCAACCUCUUAUGAAUCGAGGUCGUAAACACAAAUACACAUACAAAAUUCACGUAUUACAACGUGUUUAUACAUUCAAUCCACUUUAUACCAUCAAUACAUCACUAAAAUUCAUAAUUUCAAAUGAUAAAAUCCUAAUCUCAAUAAUUUUCAAAUUUCAAAAUACAACCAGUAACUUUAUUGGCCUUUUUCGACAUUUUCA